rnacentral:tRNA from 1 species
GAGGGUUUAGCUCAGUAUAGAGUAGAGUGCAUGUUUAGCAUGCAUGGGGUCUUGGGUUCAAUCCCCAGUGCCUCCU